UCUUAUCAUUUGGUAUCAAAGCAAUGAUCCUUGGUGUUCUCGCUACAGUGUUGCCGUAGCUAUUAUCAUCAAAAAAAAAAAAAGGAAAAGAGAAGAAGAAGAAGCUGUAGCCCGCCACAGCCCUGCUUCCCUUCUUCCCCACCGCCACUGCAAAGCAACUCUUUCUCCAUCGCCACUACUGUUUCCCCGGCUGCUUGACCACCAUCGC
rnacentral:lncRNA from 1 species